AUUGAACGCUGGCGGCAGGCCUAACACAUGCAAGUCGAACGAGUCGCGGACGGGUGAGCAAUGUCUGGGAAACUGCCUGAUGGAGGGGGAUAACUACUGGAAACGGUAGCUAAUACCGCAUACCAUCGGAUGUGCCCAGGUGGGAUUAGCUAGUGGGUGGGGUAAAGGCUCACCAAGGCGACGAUCCGUAACUGGUCUGAGAGGAUGAACAGCCACACUGGAACUGAGACACGGUCCAGACUCCUACGGGAGGCAGCAGUGGGGAAUAUUGGACAAUGGGCGAAAGCCUGAUUCAGCCAUGCCGCGUGUGUGAAGAAGGCCUUCGGGUUGUAAAGUACUUUAAGCUGGGAGGCGUUACCCACAGAAGAAGCACCGGCUAACUCCGUGCCAGCAGCCGCGGUAAUUC
rnacentral:rRNA from 1 species